ensembl:snRNA U6 U6 spliceosomal RNA
GUGCUUUUGCUUCUGCAGCACGUAUACUAAAAUUGGAACGAUACAGAGAAGAUUAGCGUGACCCCUGCACAAGGAGGCCGUGCAGAUUUGUGAAGCGUUCCAUAUUUUU